rnacentral:lncRNA from 1 species
AUGAGUGUGGACGUCCCCUCUGGUGCUCUCUGCCCGCGUACAUACCAACCCCUCUUCCUUUCAGUCUGCACUUGCAUCUCUGGGCUUCAUAUCUCAAGCAUCCUGAGCUCUGGGACCACCAAGUUGGCAUUCACUCUUGAACCAUUAACAGCAAUUCCAACACAACCCAUCAUUCAGGUGCCUUGUCGCCUACAUCCAUUUGCUCGCUGUCUGCCUGGUCCUGGGUCCUUUUCCUCCAAGUCUGACAGUCUGGACUCUGAUGCUCCUCAGACCCGGGGGCUCAUGUGCUCACCCUUCUCCACUGCGCCACUGCCUCUAGCAGCCCAUCCUGCGCUGGCCUCUUCCCACCUCUCCCACGUCCUCACUCGCCGGACCUAUUGCUGUGCUCUUCCUCCUGCAGGGGCUUCCUCAUGCCCUUUGCCCACUCCUGGGGCAGGUUCUCCACACCCACUCUCUCCUAGCUCCCUGCCGUCCCUCUGGGCACAGUGUGUUCCCGGAUCCUCUCAACAAGCCUCCUCUCCUCUCCUGGCUCCCUGCCGUCCCUCUGGGCACAGUGUGUUCCCGGAUCCUCUCAACAAGCCUCCUCUCCUCUCCUGGCUGCCGGGCGCCGUCUCCCGCGGUUCCUCACUCUCUGGCCUAUCGGACAGAGGUGGACCUCUCCUCCACCACCCUCUCUCAGUUGUCCGAGGUAGCUCACCUGACCUCCCACAUCCUGGGCCCGGUUUCUAGGUCUCUCCUGGUUUCUCCAGGUCACACACAGCAACACUUCCGCUACUCUCUGUGACCCCUCCAGCCGGCUGAGUUGUCUCCUCUGCUGUGUGCACCCUUCUCAGUCUCCCAUCCGCUGCUCAAACCAGUUCAGCCGUCUCUGCCUCAGACACAUUGUCGCACACUGUCUGUCCACAUGUCCAGCCUCCAAAGCUCCUAUCCUCCCAGCUCCCCCCAGUGUAACCUUUCCUGUUCCAUUCAGAUCGUUUCACACUCCUCUGACACAUUCGUGGGGAACCCUUCCUGACUCUCUGCCUUCAUCCCUUCACCACAGUGCUGAUACGUUUAGCCUCGCCCUGGGCUGCCACCCCUCCCUACCCCAGCCUCCCUCUGCACAGAGCCCUGGGCCUGCUGCCGCCCUCCUCCUCCCCUCCCUCCUAGCAGCCACCUCUCCCCAGACGCUCUCCAGCACUGACCCUCUCCCACCCACUCUGGCCUUUCCAUGAGUGUGGACGUCCCCUCUGGUGCUCUCUGCCCGCGUACAUACAACCCCUCUUCCUUUCAGUCUGCACUUGCAUCUCUGGGCUUCAUAUCUCAAGCAUCCUGAGCUCUGGGACCACCAAGUUGGCAAUUCACUCUUGAACCAUUAACAGCAAUUCCAACACAACGCCAUCAUUCAGGUGCCUUGUCGCCUACAUCCAUUUGCUCGCUGUCUGCCUGGUCCUGGGUCCUUUUCCUCCAAGUCUGACAGUCUGGACUCUGAUGCUCCCUCAGACCCGGGGGCUCAUGUGCUCACCCUUCUCCACUGCGCCACUGCCUCUAGCAGCCCAUCCUGCGCUGGCCUCUUCCCACCUCUCCCACGUCCUCACUCGCCGGACCUAUGCUGUGCUCU